ncrna:unclassified sequences int-alpA RNA
CAGUAGGCUAGGUUGGCCGCCGAAAAGUGUAAACCUUGAUGCACCUGCCUACUGUUUUUAUAAAUCAAGG